UACCCAGCAAUGGGAGUGCGAAUCUCGAAAGCCUGUCUCAGUUCGGAUUGGAGGCUGAAACCCGCCUCCAUGAAGUUGGAUUCGCUAGUAAUCGCGCAUCAGCCAUGGCGCGGUGAAUACGUUCCCGGGCCUUGUACACACCGCCCGUCAAGCCAUGGGAGCCGGGGGGUGCCUGAAGUUCGUGACCGCAAGGAGCGACCUAGGGCAAAACUGGUGACUGGGGCUAAGUCGUAACAAGGUACC
rnacentral:rRNA from 1 species